rnacentral:tRNA from 1 species
CCGGGGCAGCACUGGUUGUGCGGGAGGGAUUUAUAUCCCCUUGGCAGCGGACUGCUGUUUGCGGCCGGGUUCGAUCCCCGGGCCCCGGACCA